AUGCCGACAACCGACGAUAGAGUGAGAGCAGGAGAUACCAGGCAAGCAAUAGAGAUGUGUCUCUCAAGUGCUGUGCUAUGGUGGGAAGAGUGGCAGCUGCGCAUCCUCGUCCUCAGCAGCCUCUUCAUUCAGUGGCCCCUCUUCCUCUCUGCCGCCAUGCGUAAGCUCGCUAUUCCUUCCUGGUUCAGAUCCACAAUAUGGCUCGCAUACCUAGGCAGCAACGCUCUAGCCAUAUAUGCCUUAGCCAACCUCUUCAGUCGUCAGAGGAGGCAAGAUUGCAGCUCCGGGCAAGGCAAUAGCAUUCUGGAGGUGGUAUGGGCUCCAGUUCUCCUGAUGCACCUUGGCGGACAAGACCUCAUCACUGCAUACAACAUUGAAGACAACGAGCUGUGGACGCGGCAUGUUGUCACAGUUGUGUCACAGGUCACCGUAGCCAUUUACGUGUUCUGCAAAUCAUGGCCAGAUUACGUGUUCUGCAAAUCAUGGCCUGGUGACAACAAGAGGUUGUUGCAGGCAUCAAUCCUGUUCUUCGUCCCUGGGAUCCUGAAAUGCAUAGAGAAGCCCUGGACUCUCAAGAGCGCUAGCAUUAACAACCUAGUCAGCUAUUCCCACUCUGCUCCCUGGAGUACCGCAAACAGAGAAGACAAGAUCGGUUCACUUGAAGACUACGUGCAAAAAGCACGGGCUUUUGUCCUAGGUAACCCUUGUCGUCAAGAGCAAGAAGGUGAUGCAGUGAACCCUGAGGCCGAUGACCAUCUUUCUCAAGCACAAGUAGAAGUCGAUGCAAUGGACCUUGAGGCAGAUAAUCAACGUCGAGCACAAGAAGAAGACGCCUCGGUGGAACUUGAGCCCGACAAUCUUUCUCAGACCUCAAGCGCAUGGAGAAAUCACCUAAACCAAAUAAAGGAAAAUAUGAGAAGCCGCAUAAACCAACAGAGGGGGAAAAGUACAAGCCAAGAUGACUAUAAUGCCGAGCUUGAGGUGUAUGGGCUAUUUGUGGACCUUGCAUCACCGUAUCCUGAUCGGCUUGGUAUCCUAAAAUCCCUCUGGUUGCUUGAUAAAGCACAAGCAUAUGCUUUCUUGCAAGAUAGCCUAUUCAGCGCAUUCGAUCUUCUGUAUACCAAAAGAAAGAUGCCAGCUUUUGGGAAGAACGGUGCAAGGAAGACCCAAACUUCUUCGAAAUUCUUUCUUCUUACUGCUGGAGGUUUACAGUUUUUCUUGGUUGCUCCAAAGGGUCAAGUGGCAGCCAACUCAACAUCCAACAACUUGACAUCUCUGGUCUCUGGCCUAUUUGAGCAGGCAAAAGAAAAGUUGGUUAUUAAGUACGUGAAGAAAGGGUGGGAGGAUGAAAUGAAGGAUGCUGAAAGUUACUGGAAGUUCAACGAUCACAGGGGGCAAUGGACUCUUCAGGCCAACAAGUGCGAUACGGCGGACCAGCGCCGAUCCAGCAGUUCCUCGAAGAGUACCGUGAGGCAGGGAGACAUGGUCCGUACGCACGAAUCAAGGAAUGGAUCCGACGCCUCCGCGUACCCGGUAGAAACCGAAAGAUCGAUGGGCCUCUCGGGUGCUGUGGAUUGGUGGGAGGAGUGGCAGCUGCAUAUCCUCGUCAUCAGCAGCCUCUUUGUCCAAUACUUCCUGUUCGUCUCUGCCUCCAGCCGUAAGCUUGCCAUCUCUUCCUUGUACAGAUUCCUAAUAUGGAUCGCGUAUGUAGUCAGCGAUCCUCUGGCGAUAUAUGCCCUCGCCACCCUCUUCAAUCGACAGAAGAAGCGGGACUACAGCUUAUCAAACCGCAAUAGCAUCCUCGAGGUGCUGUGGGCGCCUUUCCUUCUGAUGCACCUUGGUGGACAGGACUGCAUAACCGCGCCAGACGGCGAACAUAGGUUGCUGCAAGCAGCAAUCUUGUUGUUCGUUCCCGGGAUCCUCAAAUGCUUAGAGAAGCCAUGGGCCCUUAAGAGAGCUAGCAUUUACAGCUUGGCCAAGUCUUCUGGCCGCCCUGGACAAGCUCCGUGGAGGAUCAGUUUACUGGGAGGCUACAUGCAACGAGCAAGGGCUAUAGUCUUGACCCGUAGCUGUAGUCCUCGAGCACAACGAGAAGGUGCUGCAGUGGACCAUGGUGCUGAUCAUCCACCUCAAGCACAAGGAGAAGGCUCCGUCACUGCAGAACUUGACGACGGCCAUCAUCCUCAGACUUCAAGAAGACGAAUGGACCUUGGGGAUUACGUGCAAAAAGCAAGGGAUUUUGUCAAGGACCAUCAUCGUCAUGCACAAGGAGAAUGUGAUCGAGUGGACCUUGAGGCCAACCAUCGCCUUCAAACACGACAACAAGGUGGCUCAGUGGACCUUGAGGAUGAGGCAUAUCACAAGCUAUUUGUGGAUCUUGCAUCCCCGUAUCCUAAUCGGCUUGGUGUCCUAAAAGCCUUCUGGGUUCUUGAUGAGAAACUAACUUAUGCACUGUUAGAGAAAUGGCUAUCCGACACGUUCAACCUUCUCUACACCAAAAUGAAGAUGGUUCGCUCCUUCUGGGGUAACUCAAAAGGCAAAAAAGACCCAAGUUUGUUGGAAUUCCUUCCUGCCUUCGUAAGGUUAGCAGCUAUAGCCCUGCCAUUAGCAGCCAUCGGGCUCUUCCACAACAGUCACAGGGAAUCUUAUAAUGAUCAGGAUGUCAAUGUUACAAUUGCCCUGUUUACCUGUACCGCGUUGCUGGAGGCAUAUGCCUAUGCCUCUCUUGGUUUUGGUGAUUUCAAAUUGUCUCGCUCGGUUUCCCAAUAUAGCCUCAUAGGAUUCUUUGCCCGCAACCAAAGGCACACAAUGAUGAUGAGCAUCUUGAGUUUCUUUGGAGGAAAGGACUUCCUUGACCAGCAUUGGUGCAUGUGGCCCCGUGACUCAUCCAUUGCCAUUAUAGGGUUGGUUCUGAAGUAUGUGAAGAAAGGGUGGGCACAACAAAUAAAUGAUGACAAGGAUUACUUGAAGUUCAACCAUUCCAGAGGCCAGCGGACUCUUGAGAUCAAUAAGUGUGAAGUCCUGGGUUGGAGCUUAAGGAGGCCGUUCGACGAGAGUGUCCUUCUCUGGCACAUCACCACAUAUUUCUGCUUCUACAUGGUCGCACGGAGGCAGGAGGAGAUAUCUCCUCCAUUAUCUAAAAAAACUACAUGGGCGCAUCAGCUGAUUACCAGUGUGCCACUGCUCAAUGUAACCAAGAUGAUGCCUCUGUUCAACAUCACGAUGCUCAUGGCAGGCACCCGACGGUUUCUGUUAAAUACUGCCAAUGAUAAACUUGAAGACAUUCUGAAGCCUGACAAGCCAUCACUCAAAAAGAUUCUCAAGAGCGACAAGCCAUCGCUCAAGGAGAUCUUCCAGCGUGAUAUUUCAAUGUUGGAUAUCAUCAAGGGUCAAAUGUCAAAGGUCAAGCAGAUCCUCAAUGGCAACAUAUCAAUGCUCAAGCAGAUCCUCACGAGAAAAACUACAAUUCUGGAGAUCACCAAUUACAAAAUGUCAGAGAUUCUCAAGAUCGAAAAAGAAAUUGAAGGAGGAAUUAUGCAGAUAUUAAUCAGCAGGAUGGAGCUCGCAGAGCGCAAAAAACAAGUUGCAGAAGUUGUAGGAUCAGCAAAAUUACCGCCCAACAGACAGAAAAAUCCAGCUACACAAGAACGUUUCAUCCACGAUGCCUGGGAGAUUUCUAAGGUAUUGUUGGCUUUAGGUGAUGAGAAGAUGUGGGAGGUGAUUGAAGGUGUGUGGGUGGAGAUGCUCUGCUUCUCGGCCAGUAACUGCCGAGGGUACCUACAUGCCAAGAGUCUGGGCACCGGCAUAGAGUUACUCACCUAUGUCUGGCUUCUGCUGUCGCACAUGGGGAUGGAGACCUUGCCGGAGAGGCUGCAGAGGACGGAGCCUUCAAGUGGAGAAGUAAAUGCUGGUGCUGCUCCAUCGACUUCGCAGUAUUAUUGUUCUAAACUGAUGCCAAAGCCUGGAAAUAUUAUAACUAUUUGUCAUAAUGUAUUGCCACCCAAAGGUCAGAAGCUGCUGAUAGAUGCAUGCUUGGAAGGGUAUGGAAAGAAGCUGCUGGUGCAUCUUCCGCUCGACCCCAAGAAAUACCAGCAGAAUAACCUGAGAAAUUACAGUCUCUUCAUUUACACACGGAAGUUUGAUUCCGUAUCUGGAUUCCCAAAGUUGAGAAUGCAGUGCAGUUUUCCUUCCUUGAAUACCCAAGUGAUGUUGCUGCGUCGCGACCAUCUGAAAAGCAGAGUGUUGAUGAUGCAAAGAGACAUGGGGAUGGAUACCUCGGCCAGCAGGUGUCAGAUGUUGGAGCCUCAUGAAGAAGAAGAAUCUGCUGGUGGUACAUCAACCUGUCAACCCCAACAAAUACUGCCUGCUGAAUAA
rnacentral:rRNA from 1 species